UUUCGUGGCUUUAUUUCCUACACUCCCAUAAGUGACUCUUUAUCUCUUCCCUUCUCUCUCUCUGAUUUCAUUCUUAGUUAUCAACGCCCCUUUUCUAAAGCCCAUACAUUGAAAUCAUCUUUGUUAUUCUAUCUUCAUUACCUUUGUCAAAAACAAUCUUCAUUACCUAAAUUUAUAAAUAUUGAAGUAAUUUGAGCAUGCAUUAAUGGCGAUGGAAGAAGAUUCAAUUGAACAAGUAGUAAUUGAGAGGAGAGAGAUUGAGAGCUCUUAGAACAACUCAAGAGCCUUUCAAAACCCCAGAUGAUGAUACGUCACAACCAAGAAACAACUCGAAGGAUGGAGAUGUUGGUAACAGUGAACACAGGUUAUGCUAUUGAUAAUCAUGGAAGGAAUACGAAGUACAAGAUACACUAUUAAUGUAUGGUUGUAUGGAGUAUAUACUUGUAAAUUAUUCAAUAAGCUACCACUUGUAAAUUCUAGUAAUUAGUUUGUAAAUUUCAAUAAUUAAUAUAUGUCAGUUUGUUUAAUUAUAUAUUCAAAGUUUGCAUUUUCAGUAA